UAAAUGAUGAUGAUGACAUAAUUUACAUUUUUAGGUGAACUAUUCCUUCAUUUUUUUUUUUCUUCAUUUAUGUGUUUGACUCGAAGCGGCGCUGACAUCAAAGUACCGCGAGAACGUAUACGAGCAUUUGGAACCAUCAGCCGCCAAACGUUAACGGGGUACUGCCUUUAAACCCUGACUACAGAACGAGCCAAUAGAAUUUGAUUGUGGACUCUGGAUGAGCAUUUCAUUGGUUGAACCAAGCCUAUUUAAACAAACCCGAACAAGCUAAUCAAGCUAGUAAGUCACGCUCACGCUCGAGUUUGGCUUUGCGGCUAAGAGUACGGACGGGCCACGAGUCGUGUUUCUCUUCGUACACGACAUAAAAACAAAGCAAAACGUAAACACAGACAUAAAAUUAGUGCCUCCUCCUUUUUCCCAGACUAAAGUCACGGCGUGAAGAAAUAAAGGCCACGUCGUGGACAAACUGACAUUCCCCUGAUGCUAUUUCGCAGAUGCUCCUGGCUGGGAGAGGGCUUCUGAAGGGCAAAUGUAAAGCCCAGUGAGCUGCUGUCAGCCUUGCUGCAGGGGGAGAUGUUGAAGAACGCCAGAGCAGAGACGUCCCACUCCUCGUCCCAUUGUUCCUGUCACUCCACUCCCGAUUCCUGUGCCCCCUUCUCCCUAAGCAGCCCACUGUCCCAUUAAAGUAGACAACCUUGUCUCACAUGGCAGGUGUUUUCUGGAGGGUCGGGCAAUGGAAUGGCAGCAGAAGGAGUUCUUGUCAUCCAGUGCACUCGGCUUUGUCCUCACCACGAACAUCAGACGUUAUAAUCACCUGCCUUCAGUGAACUGCCAUUGAAAGAUGCCACCCCCGAACUGGAACGCUCCUGUGCUGCCGAGAUUGUUCCUGAGUGGAGACGAGGUCUCUCUACACAAUCAGCAGGCUUUAAGAGCAAUCUGAAUCACAGUCUAUUUCACCAGCGACACUUUUUUUCACCUCUUCUGCUUCUAGAUGUAGUUUCCAGUGAUUGUGGAUCUUCAGUCAUGGACGACAAACAAAUGAGUCACAGAAAGGGAUUCAAUUCAGCUGUUUGGAAAAUGAAUCAAAUUAGCUUUUUAGGUUAGUGGUUGGUUGUUGCUCAGCUGUUGGUGCAUUUACCUUACGUUCUAUGUUGCAAACAUAAUAAAUGAGGUUCUUUAUAACCUUGGCCCAGGAUAGUGGCUUCCUGGCCUAUUUGUUUUGCACAGAACAAAGAGUUUUGCUCAC